CCUUCCUCCUGCAGCAGCCUCCCGGACAGAUUACUAUUUCCUGUGGCCGCGUCAUAGUGGGGCUGCAUAGUCACUGGAUCUCGGAUCCUCCUGCUGCCGGCCUCCUCUUCGAGCUGUGUCUGGAUCCGCGGUGGACUGCCAUGUUGACAUGGCGGUGCGGCUGACACAAUCCGACCCAAUCACUCGUUCACACCAUGCUCAUGAGAUGACACCCUUGCCCAUUCACAACUUCCGCACACGAAUCCCAGCACAUACGGAACACAACACUAGCAACUGUAACAAGUAAGAAGGAAGAGCAUCAGGGCAAAAUAUCAAACACAUUUUUAAAAUUAGGUCACCUGUAGUCGGCACACAGCGAAAUAAGCCAACGUGUGGGCUAAACCAUUAUUCAGUCGGAACUAGAAACAGCAGUGAGGCACGAGGUACAGAGUUCCUGAUGCCAGAGGGAUGCCACUAGUUCAACCCACAACAUGCUGCCUUCACUGUGGAUAAGCUACAGGGAAUGAGACCUACUGUACAUAAAGCCAUUGAAGGUAUACCUCCAAUGUAAGAAGUUAUUUAUCGCUUCGGUCUAGCCUC